rnacentral:lncRNA from 1 species
UGAAACAUUCACACUAUACCAGAAGUGUAACAUCAUCGAGUUUAACAUGGUCAUGAGAUUGUAAAAGCUAACCCGUCCCGGAAGCAAGGCAACAUCCAAUUCAGCACGGUCAUAUGAUUACAAAAGCUAAUUAGCUAACAUUAAGUUCAGUAAUAUGAGCAGGAACACAAGAGAGCAAAAGCCAACAGUGGCAAUAGAGAGAUAAAACUACGAUGCCAUAGCUUGGUUCAAUUGCCUCCAUGAGUGCCAUUCCAUUUGAGAUGCGACGCCAAAAAUGACCAACAAAAUAUCAGUGACGUUUGUCCUGCUUCCAAUGUCUCUGUUUCGUGCCUAGCAAAUUUGGCAAAAUUUCUCAUAAUUCUUAAAUAUAUCACUUUAAAUAUGAAAACUGAUACAUGCACACAUAUGUAAUGAAAUUAAACUUGAGUAAUGCAACAGCAGAGUGAAAGUGUCAUGAAUAUGGGAAGAAAUGUUACAAAUGUUCUGCAUCCUUUUGACACUACCAAUCCAAAGUGAUUAUUUCAAUGGGCAAUUUUUUUUAACGAGCUUUAGUUAAAUUAUGUUCUUGAUGAAUAACAGUGCCUCUGAACUGUACAUGACCAUAAGAAGUGCAUCCAUAGACACACCCUUUUGCUUUGAUAUUAUGAUAUACAAAAAUCCUUGAUAAAUAAAGUGUAUAUAAGUCAGUAGUAUAACAAACUACCUGGAUAGACUGGGCCUCAAUGGAACCUCCUAGAGUAUUGAUCCAUACAUGGCGUAGGUGCACCACUACCGACCAACUCCAACACCAUGCUAACAGCCCGCCUUGCCGAUACCUACCCGCCCACACUUGGUCCUCUUGCCUGGGACACUGCAUAGCAGGCACCACAUAAACUUGAUCACACAAACCUUAAUCAAUUUUCUGCUUGCAAAAUAAAAGAGCAUAUUCCUAAACCACAAAGAUGGGACGACGACCAUCUCGGUCAGAGGAGGUAGUGUAUGAUUAAAAAAAUAGUAGUUUGUUGUACUAAAAAAUUGUAGAAAUUGGGGUGGACAUCCGUGGAUCUACCAUGUAAGGAAUAUACCGAACAUAAUUUGGUCUCACUAUUGGUAGAGCUUAGAGAACAACAAAGUAAUGCAGAAAACAAAACAUGGGACUGUACAUAUUCUACAUAACACACCACUGCACCAUAUAUAUACAAGACAGAUCAAUUAGAAGGGGCAACUUGUGCUCUGUUUAUGAGAGAAAUAAAUCAAAUAAUAUUGCAAGAGACUGAAAAAUGAUGGCAAGAACAAAUCAAAUAAUAUUGCAAGGUACAACACAUUAUGAAAGAUCAUACCUCGACAAAGCAAACCAGGGACAGUAGAUCCACAGAUGGCCACUGCAAUUUCUACAAUUAUGCAAAAUAAAAUACAAGGUAAGAAAAUCACUGAAUUAUAAUUGGAAACUGAAUUUUGCUCUGAACCAUAGCAUGCACUUGACAAAGUUAAAUACCCAGAAGGAAAAUAUCAUAU